UACAGAGGGGGCAAGCGUUAUUCGGAAUUAUUGGGCGUAAAGGGCGCGUAGGCGGCUUUGCAAGUGACGGGUGAAAGCCCUCGGCUUAACCGAGGAACUGCCUGUCAGACUGUGAGGCUUGAGACCGGGAGAGGUGAGUGGAAUUCCCAGUGUAGCGGUGAAAUGCGUAGAUAUCGGGAGGAACAUCUGUGGCGAAGGCGACACCCUGGACCAGCACUGACACUGAGGCACGAAAGCGUGGGGAGCAAACAGG
rnacentral:rRNA from 1 species